UACAGGGGGUGCAAACGUUGCUCGGAAUUAUUGGGCGUAAAGCGCACGUAGGCGGUUCGUUAUGUCAGAUGUGAAAGCCCUUGGCUCAACUGAGGAAGUGCAUCUGAAACUGGCGAGCUAGAGUACGGAAGAGGGUCGCGGAAUUCCCGGUGUAGAGGUGAAAUUCGUAGAUAUGGGGUGGAACACCGGUGGCGAAGGCGGCCAUCUGGACGGUAACUGACGCUGAGACGCGAAAGCUAGGGUAGCAAACGGG
rnacentral:rRNA from 1 species